rnacentral:rRNA from 1 species
CGGUAUACCAGCUCUCCGAGUGGUGGGGACGAUUAUUGGGCUUAAAGCGUUCGUAGCCGGCUUAACAAGUCUUCCGUUAAAUCCAACGAUCUAAUCGUUGGGCUGCGGGAGAUACUGUUGGGCUAGGAGGCGGGAGAAGCCGACGGUAUUCUCGGGGUAGGGGUGAAAUCCUGUAAUCCCGGGAGGACCACCAGUGGCGAAGGCGGUCGGCUAGAACGCGCUCGACGGUGAGGGACGAAAGCUGGGGGAGCGAAUCGGAUUAGAAACCCGAGUAGUCCCAGCUGUAAACGAUGCGGGCUAGGUGUUGGGGUGGCCAUGAGCCACUUCAGUGCCGCAUGGAAGCAAUUAAGCCCGCCGCCUGGGGAGUACGGCCGCAAGGCUG